ACCACGCCCAGCUAAUUUUGUACUUUUAGUACAGACGGAGUUUCUCCAUGUUGGUCAGGCAGGUCUGGAACUCCCGACCUCAGAUGCUCCACCCGCCUCGGCCUCUCAAAGUGCUGGGAUUACAGGCGUGACCCACUGUGGUCGGACAGGUGAGAAAACUGAGACUCAGAUGAGCUAAAAACACAUUCACGAUCAUAUAGUAAUAAGCGAUGGAACUGGGAUUCAAUCCAGUUCUGUCUGACUCCAAAGGUGGUGCAUCAUCUUAAUGAAGACCAAGUUAUACCCAGCACAUGAAGGAACUGAAAACCACAAUAAGUGAGGACUGGUUAAAGAAACAAGUGAUGUUUAUCCUGAGAGUGACUGACAACAUUUCAGUGAAAAAAUGAGAGUAGUAUUUGAAUAACUGAAGGUCUACCGCAGAAGAGGGUUUCAGCUGGAUGUGUUCUGCAGACUCCUAGGAUCCACGGCAUGGUAAGCCCCUAGUGAAUGUUUAUUGAGUGAAUAAAUCCUGUACUGCUCCCACAGCAUGGACAAAGACCAUGGGCCGCCAUGGGGUCCUGCGGCUGAACUGGGCCCUGGCAGGAGCAGUCCCCUCACUCUCCUUUGAUCAGAAGGCUGCAUGUGCUCUACAUUUCAGAAGUAACCCUGUGAACUGGGACAUCCAG
rnacentral:lncRNA from 1 species